rnacentral:tRNA from 1 species
GGCCGGUUGGCCCAAUGGCAAGGCGUCUGACUACGAUUCCCUCCAGACAUUCCCACAAAUGUGAGACAGAGUCUAGAGCACUAUCUGCUAUCAGGAGAUUCUGGGUUCGACCCCCAGGCUGGUCA